AACCCUUAAUUUCCCAAAUGUGUUAUCCCUCCGUAGCCAGCCUCUGCCGCCAUUGAUUUGAUCUCUUGAGUCACAAUUCACUUUCUCCCUUUCUCGAAAAACUCCUCGUUUCUCCCUCUACACCCUUCAUCUUUAGGAGGAUUCACUGCUUCGAUGACAUUCAAAGACCAGCCAGACCUGGUGAUAAUUCUUUCAUGAAUAGCAUCUUGUCUGGAAAUGCUACGGAUAAGAACAUGUCACCUUCAUCUAGAGUGGAUAAGAAAGGAAAGCAUUAGACGAUUGAUAAGAUGUGGAAGCAUCUUUGGCCUUGAGAAGAAUGGAAGCUGAAGCCAUAUUUCCAAUGGAUCAAUAGGAAAGAUGGUGUGAAGAACGCUCAUCCCAACAGAUAAGGAGGGUUCAAAUCAACAACUAGUGAUAAAUGGGCCUUUUAGUUGAAUUUAACUUAUUCAAUGGUGAGGAUAUGAUCAUAAAAAUUGAAAAUGCCUCGUAUGGCAAGAAGAUGUGAUAUGAAAAGGUCCAUGAUAGAGAAGAAUGUGUACUUACCUAGAAAUUAAUAUGCAUAGUCAAGGAGAAAAAGAAUUCUCAAGAUCGAAUCAAUGAUUUAGCAAAAUAUAAGAUACCUAGUUUUAGAGCAUUGCCCCCUAGAGUGAAGUUUGGACCAGGAUGGGUAGGAGAGAACGAUCGGACACCACCAAAGCCACUUUUUGUGCCUUCAUCAACAUUACUCUCAUCUCUCCCUCGAGAUUCUGCUCCUGUUGCUAUACCUUGCAAUAUUUUAGUACAUGCUAUAAGA